AGAAUCAACGCUGGCGGCGUGCCUAACACAUGCAAGUCGAACGCGAAAGCCCCGCAAGGGGCAAGUAGAGUGGCAAACGGGUGAGUAACACGUGGGUGACCUGCCUUCGAGCGGGGGAUAACGUCCCGAAAGGGACGCUAAUACCGCAUAACAUCCUGCCUUUGAAGAGGUGGAGAUCAAAGCUGGGGAUCGCAAGACCCGGCACUUGAAGAGGGGCCCGCGUCUGAUUAGCUAGUUGGUGGGUAACGGCCUACCAAGGCAACGAUCA
rnacentral:rRNA from 1 species